GACGAACGCUGGCGGCGUGCUUAACACAUGCAAGUCGAACGGAAAGGCCCUGCUUUUGUGGGGUGCUCGAGUGGCGAACGGGUGAGUAACACGGGAGUAACCUGCCCUUGACUUUGGGAUAACUUCAGGAAACUGGGGCUACUACCGACUAGGAGCUCCUGCUGCAUGGUGGGGGUUGGAAAGUUUCGGCGGAAGUGGAUGGACUCCCGGCUAACUAGCUUGUUGGUGGGGUAGUGGCCUACGCAGGGUUUGACGGGUAGCCGGCCUGAGAGGUUGACCGGCCACAUUGGGACUGAGAUACGGACCAGACUGCUACGGGAGGCAGAAGGGGGGAAUAUUGCACAAUGGGCGGAAGCCUGAUGCAGCAAUGCCGCGUGCGGGAUGACGGCCUUCGGGCUGUAAACCGCUUUCGGCUGUGACGAAGCGGGAGUGACGGUAAUGGGUAAAGAAGCACCGGCUAACUACGUG
rnacentral:rRNA from 1 species